CAGUUUCAGUGAUUUAAUUCUCACAAACGAGUCUGUUAAAGUCCGCGCUGUGUAUUUACUUAAAGAUAAAGUUCCUGCUACAUGUGUUAUUGAGUCAGAGCUUAUUAAAAGACACAAGAAUCUGACGACGGAAAAUCUCGUCAACGGCUAAACUGUUAUCUGGAAAGUGAGAAAUGGAUAAAAAGACGUUGGUGAAGCGGCGCGCUGCUAAACCCUGAAGUUCGAUGGAAAAUGGCCACAUGUCAAGGAAGGCUGCUGAGUUUGAGAGAGUCUUAGUGUCCAACAGAGAAGACCCGGGACUAUGCUGUAAAGGAGAAAAUUACAAGGAGGCCUGGAUCUGGGAAACUUGAAUCUACUAGUGAAUCAGAUGGGCCAUGCCGAUCCAUCUUAAGGCAGUCAGAGCUGCUAAAAUAAUGAAAUUUAAAAAAAAAGAUCUGUCUGCAUUAGUGCAGAUGAAGGUGGACAAACAUAUUUUUCCCAUGGAGGAGGUCCAAAAAGUGUACUUCACCAGCAAAUUCAAUGAUGUGGACAAGCUAGGAAAACAAGAGGUGUAAUUCAUUUCACAAUUCUCGCCCCCGCACACACACAAAGACAUAGGACACAUCCAAGCACCCAAUACUGCCAUAAUUAAAUGCAUAGUGAAUGAUUAUGAAUUAGAUUUUUCAUUAUGUAUGUAUAGAGUUUAUAUAUAUAUAGAUUUAUAACACAAUACAUUAUUCAGUUAUAUAAUUGUAUAUAUUACUGUAUAAUAAAAUUAUAUUAUUGUAUAA